AGGACGAACGCUGGCGGCGUGCCUAACACAUGCAAGUCGAACGCGCUCCAUUCGGUAGCAAUACUGAUGAAGAGCGAGUGGCGAACGGGUGAGUAACACGUGAGUAAUCUGCCCCUAGCUCUGGGAUAGCUCCGGGAAACCGGGAUUAAUACCAGAUAUGACCACUUUAGACAUCUGCUGUGGUGGAAAGAAUUUCGGCUAGGGAUGAGCUCGCGGCCUAUCAGCUUGUUGGUGGGGUAAUGGCCUACCAAGGCGACGACGGGUA
rnacentral:rRNA from 1 species